rnacentral:lncRNA from 1 species
GUACAUAGCAUACAGAAAUGGUCACUUGAGGGAAACUGACAGAUUUGUCAACCCUCCGUCCUAAGGAUGAGCCUUUUCUUCCUGGAUCAGUCAGUCAUUUACUCCACAAAUAUUUGUUUGGUACCUGCCUUGUGUCAGACAAUAUUUUAGGUGCUCAGAAUAUGUAAGUGAAUACAAUAGACAAAGAUAAUCCCUGCAUUCCAGAGCUUACAUUUAAGAAACUUCUAAAUAGAGGUCCUUAGCAACCCCCUGCUUUUUCAUCUCAUUAUUUUCAUUUAUUUAUUUAUUUGUUAAUUCUCCAUUAACAAACAUGCAGAAUAUCCACCAUUGGCCAAGCAGUGUGAUAGACAAUAAGGUUGGGGUCAGAAGGCAUUACAUGUAUUAACAUCAUUCUGUUGAAGGAUCUGUAGUAUGAUCCACUAUACCCUUAACACAAAACUGGUUUCCACUUACAUCUUCCCAGUUAUUUCCCUGAUUAUCCUGUAUUCUCUCUCAAGUGUCCUUCAAUCUUGUACAGGAAUACAGUACUCCUAUCUAUUUAGUAUUAGAAUUCAGAGCUAAGGGCAUAAGCCAUAACUUUGAGGCACACAUGUGCCAAGGAAAACAAAAACUUUGCUGGGUGAAAGGGUAUGGGAGAUGUCAUGUUUUUAAAAAGUAGGGGUAGUAAGGUAGGAUCUCAUGUUUUUGUUGGGAGCUAGAGUUCUCACACUUAUGAUAUCACUAAAUGUUCCAGCCAAUGAGGACACAGGAGGAGACUACAAGAUUCUACUCUUGAGGAGAAGGCUAGAAUGGACCUCAAUGUAAAAAGGCGCUAUAGAAAACAGAGUGUAAUCAGGAGAUGAAAGCUGAAACAGAAGAGUUAAAAGAAAUAAGAGAAAAGUCAACACCCUUUUGUAGAAAAUGUGGGAUAUUUAGACUAUAUCGCAUUCUUAUCCUCAUCUGCACUUUCACCGGUUCUGCCCUUCUAUGGUGGGCCUUCAGCCUUUCCACCUGGGUAAAGAUAGAAAUCCCAGGCAGUUCCAAAGUCCUGUUCAGUGCUCUCUUCGCAAUCUGCAAAGGUGAGGUCACAUGUUGGACGCCUCUAUCAAGAUCAAGUAUCUGCGUGUGCCUUGCAUUACUGCUGCACUCUCUGGAUAUUUUGAAACUAACUAACUUAGACAAGGAAGCGAAAAUCACCUUUCUCUACCCAACUUUCAUCCUUUUAUUCAGCGCCACACUAUUUUUCAUAUCUGGAAUUCUCUGCUUCUUCAGCUCCCAUCAUUGUUGGCUUCGGUGUGUUUUACUGCAACCAAUCCGUGUGAAACCUACGCAAGUAUCAGUGACCAGUGGAAACAGUGACAGUCACAUAGAGGAAACCAGAUAGAGAUGGCUAGCCUAACCUCACUGGUGGUGAGAAGACUAACUUUAAUAGAGACAUCAUGUUUAGCCCAUAAUUCAAGACUUCACGGCUACACACACAAUCUUGUUUAAUUACUGUGUAAGAUUGGAAAGAGUUGGCCUGUUACUAAUCAUUCAUCAGACGUGGAUUAGGAUUCCAGGAACUUAGGUUUUUCACAAAGAGAAGACACAGUUGGGGCGUGGGGAGGCAUGAGUGUGCUUUGGCUCUUGGGACUUGGAAUGAAAAUCUUCUCACCUUGAAGAUUCCCUAGGCCCACUCCACCCUCUCACUGGUAUUCCUGGUCACCUGGCAGUAGCUUUCAAACAGUAGCAAAGCUCUUUCUCUACCUACCAAGCCUGAGUUUUGAUAAAAAUUCACUGUCCUCUGGGAAUUUCAUGUGUGGUAUCACUACUGUAUUAUUCAGGACUCUUUAUUGGUAACAUAAGGUAACAAAACCUUAUCCAAACUACCUUAAACAUCAACAAAAGGGUGAAUUUAUCAAGAAGAUGCAGGCGUAGCUCAUAGACUCAAAGGAAAUUCUGGUAGAAUCAGGACAAAAAAACUUUGGGGAGUAGACAUGGAGCUCAUUUCCUUCAGCUUACUAUUUUUUUACUACUCAAUGAAAGUUAAUGGAAUUUCCUGAUUCAUAAAUGUAAUCACCGUCCCAAAUUCCCCUUGCUCAUCACUUCCAAUGAAUCAUCAAAGCCUGUCCUUUCCACCUUAGCCAGACCUCUGUUCUGCUCUCUGAGCCCUCCUCACCCGCCUUGGGCCAGACCAGGCCUUUGCCAUCCCUGCCCAGACUAUGCGGUCUCUAAAUGUGGCUUCUCCCCCACUGCAGUCUAGCUCUACAGUGCUGCCCGGCUAGAUUCAAUCUUCCUAAAACACAGAACUGAGAAUGUUCUUCUUAAAAACCUAUUUUCCCUUUUUCUUGCCUACAGGAUAAGUCCCUUAUCUUGAGAAAUAAAGUUAUUUACAAGUUGGCA